UCGAGGAUCAUUCGCAAUGGGCGAAAGCCUGACGAUGCGACGCCGUGUGAGCGAUGAAGGCCUUCGGGUUGUAAAGCUCUUUCGCAUAAGAACAAGAGAAGAGGAUGAACAAUUCUCUGAUUUGAGGGUACUAUGUAAAGAAGCACCGGCUAACUCCGUGCCAGCAGCUGCGGUAAUACGGAGGGUGCAAGCAUUAAUCGGAAUUAUUGGGCGUAAAGGGCGCGUAGGCGGAAUAACAAGUCAGAUGUGAAAUUCCGGGGCUCAACCUCGGAACUGCAUUUGAAACUGUUAAUCUAGAGGGUUGGCGGAGAAAAUGGAAUUCCACGUGUAGCGGUGAAAUGCGUAGAUAUGUGGAAGAACACCUGUGGCGAAAGCGGUUUUCUGGCUAACACCUGACGCUGAGGCGCGAGAGCAAGGGGAGCAAACAGGAUUAGAUACCCGCGUAGUCC
rnacentral:rRNA from 1 species